rnacentral:rRNA from 1 species
GAUGAACGCUGGCGGCGUGCCUAAUACAUGCAAGUCGAGCGAACGGACGAGAAGCUUGCUUCUCUGAUGUUAGCGGCGGACGGGUGAGUAACACGUGGAUAACCUACCUAUAAGACUGGGAUAACUUCGGGAAACCGGAGCUAAUACCGGAUAAUAUUUUGAACCGCAUGGUUCAAAAGUGAAAGACGGUAUUGCUGUCACUUAUAGAUGGAUCCGCGCUGCAUUAGCUAGUUGGUAAGGUAACGGCUUACCAAGGCAACGAUGCAUAGCCGACCUGAGAGGGUGAUCGGCCACACUGGAACUGAGACACGGUCCAGACUCCUACGGGAGGCAGCAGUAGGGAAUCUUCCGCGAUGGGCGAAAGCCUGACGGAGCAACGCCGCGUGAGUGAUGAAGGUCUUCGGAUCGUAAAACUCUGUUAUUAGGGAAGAACAUAUGUGUAAGUAACUGUGCACAUCUUGACGGUACCUAAUCAGAAAGCCACGGCUAACUACGUG